rnacentral:rRNA from 1 species
UACGGAGGAUGCGAGCGUUAUCCGGAUUUAUUGGGUUUAAAGGGAGCGUAGACGGGUUUUUAAGUCAGUUGUGAAAGUUUGGGGCUCAACCUUAAAAUUGCAGUUGAAACUGGAGACCUUGAGUACGGUUGAGGCAGGCGGAAUUCGUGGUGUAGCGGUGAAAUGCUUAGAUAUCACGAAGAACCCCGAUUGCGAAGGCAGCCUGCUAAGCCGCCACUGACGUUGAGGCUCGAAAGUGCGGGUAUCAAACAGG